AACGAACGCUGGCGGCAUGCCUAACACAUGCAAGUCGAACGAGACCUUCGGGUCUAGUGGCGCACGGGUGCGUAACGCGUGGGAACCUGCCCUUAGGUUCGGAAUAACUCCCCGAAAGGGGUGCUAAUACCGGAUAAUGUCUUCGGACCAAAGAUUUAUCGCCUUUGGAUGGGCCCGCGUUGGAUUAGCUAGUUGGUAGGGUAAAAGCCUACCAAGGCGACGAUCCAUAGCUGGUCUGAGAGGAUGAUCAGCCACACUGGGACUGAGACACGGCCCAGACUCCUACGGGAGGCAGCAGUAGGGAAUAUUGGACAAUGAGCGAAAGCCUGAUCCAGCAAUGCCGCGUGAGUGAUGAAGGCCUUAGGAUUGUAAAGCUCUUUUACCCGAGAUGAUAAUGACAGUACCGGGAGAAUAAGCUCCGGCUAACUCCGUG
rnacentral:rRNA from 1 species